CAGCCGCCGCGGUAAAACGAAGGGUGCAAGCGUUAAUCGGAAUUACUGGGCGUAAAGCGUGCGUAGGCGGUUUGUUAAGUCUGCUGUGAAAUCCCCGGGCUCAACCUGGGAAUGGCAGUGGAUACUGGCAAGCUAGAGUGUGUCAGAGGAUGGUGGAAUUCCCGGUGUAGCGGUGAAAUGCGUAGAGAUCGGGAGGAACAUCAGUGGCGAAGGCGGCCAUCUGGGACAACACUGACGCUGAGGCACGAAAGCGUGGGGAGCAAACAGGAUUAGAUACCCCAGUAGCCCUGUCUCUUAUACA
rnacentral:rRNA from 1 species